GUGAAAAGACAUGGGGGGUGUAGUAAUAAGUGGGAGGCGGUAAUUGCCCUUCGGGGUCUCUCGUUCGACAAUGAAAGACCACUCCCAUCAUUAUUUCUUUGCAUAUUCAGUGAAGGGGGAACUGUCAAUUAUUUUCCAUGUUGACAUUAAACACACACGUUAGUGCGUUGGUCUCACCACGUGUGUGGCUGAAAAAGUGGAACUGACAAAGACAAGGGAGACCGGAAUGGCCAUUUCUGGCUUAUUAGACGUCAUCAGCCAGUCAAACCCAAUCUGAAG
rnacentral:ncRNA from 1 species